UCUUGAAAUCUAUGACAUGCACUCUAAAACAAGAGUUGGAAAUAAUCUGGGAUGGUGGGAGUAGUUUUUAUUCAUUAGAUGUGUGAAAAUGGUAGUGCCCUGCCAUAUAUAUAUGUACAUUUGCACAUAUAUUAAAAGUUUUAACUCACAUUUUCCCUUUUCUUGUUUGAUCAUUUAGUACGAACUGCCUAUGGAGUUCGAUUGCUGAAGUG
rnacentral:lncRNA from 1 species